UGGUCAAGCGAAUAAGCGCACACGGU
rnacentral:rRNA from 1 species